AACGAACGCUGGCGGCAGGCCUAACACAUGCAAGUCGAGCGAAGCCUUCGGGCUUAGCGGCGGACGGGUGAGUAACGCGUGGGAACGUGCCCUUUGCUACGGAAUAGCCCCGGGAAACUGGGAGUAAUACCGUAUGUGCCCUUCGGGGGAAAGAUUUAUCGGCAAAGGAUCGGCCCGCGUUGGAUUAGGUAGUUGGUGGGGUAAUGGCCUACCAAGCCGACGAUUCAUAGCUGGUUUGAGAGGAUGAUCAGCCACACUGGGACUGAGACACGGCCCAGACUCCUACGGGAGGGAGCAGUGGGGAAUCUUAGAGAAUGGGGGAAACCCUGAUCUAGCCAUGCCGCGUGAUGGAUGAAGGCCUUAGGGUUGUAAAGAUCUUUCAGUGGGGAAGAUAAUGACUGUACCCACAGAAGAAGCCCCGGCUAACUCCGUGCCAGCCGCCGCGGUAAUAC
rnacentral:rRNA from 1 species